UACGGAGGGGGCUAGCGUUGUUCGGAAUUACUGGGCGUAAAGCGCGCGUAGGCGGACCUGCAAGUCGGGGGUGAAAGCCCGAGGCUCAACCUCGGAACUGCCUUCGAUACUGCGGGUCUCGAGUCCGGGAGAGGUGAGUGGAAUUCCUAGUGUAGAGGUGAAAUUCGUAGAUAUUAGGAAGAACACCAGUGGCGAAGGCGGCUCACUGGCCCGGUACUGACGCUGAGGCGCGAAAGCGUGGGGAGCAAAC
rnacentral:rRNA from 2 species